rnacentral:rRNA from 1 species
AGUGAACGCUGGCGGUAGGCCUAACACAUGCCAGUCGAACGGCAGCACAGUAAGAGCUUGCUCUUACGGGUGGCGAGUGGCGGACGGGUGAGGAAUACAUCGGAAUCUACUUUUUCGUGGGGGAUAACGUAGGGAAACUUACGCUAAUACCGCAUACGACCUACGGUUGAAAGCAGGGGAUCUUCGGACCUUGCGCGAUUGAAUGAGCCGAUGUCGGAUUAGCUAGUUGGCGGGGUAAAUGCCCACCAAGGCGACGAUCCGUAGCUGGUCUGAGAGGAUGAUCAGCCACACUGGAAGUGAGACACGGUCCAGACUCCUACGGGAGGCAGCAGUGGGGAAUAUUGGACAAUGGGCGCAAGCCUGAUCCAGGCAUACCGCGUGGGUGAAGAAGGCCUUAGGGUUGUAAAGCCCUUUUGUUGGGAAAGAAGAGCAGCAGGUUAAUACCCCGCUGUUCUGACGGUACCCAAAGAAUAAGCACCGGCUAACUUCGUG